CUUACGGCCUGGGCUACACACGUGCUACAAUGGUCGGUACAAAGGGUUGCCAAGCCGCGAGGUGGAGCUAAUCCCAUAAAACCGAUCGUAGUCCGGAUCGCAGUCUGCAACUCGACUGCGUGAAGUCGGAAUCGCUAGUAAUCGUGAAUCAGAAUGUCACGGUGAAUACGUUCCCGGGCCUUGUACACACCGCCCGUCACACCAUGGGAGUGGGUUGCUCCAGAAGUAGCUAGUCUAACCUUCGGGGGGACGGUUACCACGGAGUGAUUCAUGACUGGGGUGAAGUCGUAACAAGGUAGCCGUAGGGGAACCUGCGGUUGGAUCACCUCCU
rnacentral:rRNA from 1 species